UACGGAGAUGGCAAGCGUUGUUCGGUUUUACUGGGCGUAGAGCGCACGUAGGCGGCUGGGUAAGUCUGAGGUGAAAUCCUGCGGCUCAACCGCAGAACCGCCUUUGAUACUGCCCUGCUUGAGGACGGUAGGGGAGAGUGGAACUCUUGGUGGAGCGGUGAAAUGCGUAGAUAUCAGGAGGAACGCCGGUGGCGAAAGCGACUCUCUGGGCCGUUCCUGACGCUGAGUGUGCGAAAGCCAGGGGAGCAAACGGG
rnacentral:rRNA from 1 species